GCUCGAACCCAUGUCCCCUGCAUUGGCAGGUGGACGCUUAACCACUGCGCCACCAGGGAAGUCCCAAUUUUUGCUGUUUUAUAGUAUUCCAUUUACUCUCAAAGCCACACUAUUUGAUUGUCCUAUGACUAAACUACCCAGCAUGAAGGAUUUGACAAUCUUGGGAGGAUCCUUGUGGUUGACUUAUUAUUGUUGUGAUUAUCGUAACAACAGCACUACAGACUUCUAAGUGUGUCUCCACCUAUGAUCUCACUUCUGUGGUUAGACCUCACCUCUAGCCCCUGGGAAUUUCUUCUGUGAACCCAGCAGGAUGACAUCCCUUAAGUCAAAUUCCAAAGCUUUGAAGCAGAUCAGCAGAUCAGGGCCCCCUAAUGACUGAUUACACACAGCUCUGACCCUACACAGCUUCAAGCUUGUUGUUUUCUGCAGCCUUUCAUCCCUGCAUCCUGAAGAUGAGUCCAUUUCUUCCCCAGUGGGAAAGCAAACAGUGGAGUGGGAAGAGUGGUGAUGCAUGUCCCCCAGGCUAUGCAAAGGGGGAACACUCUGAUCUCUGCAGUGACUUGUUUGCAAAUGCCUUUCCCUUCAUGCCAGAGGACCCAAGAGAGAAGUGGGAGUGGGGACAGCUCUGGCACCUGGAAACUGAAGUUUUAUCUGCGUGAAGCAAUACACGAAGUGGUUUCUGCUCAGCAUCUCCAGCUUGUUGUAUUUUAGUACUGCUGUAGCCUCAAACUUGGAUAGUUUCAUACUGUUUGUGAAAGAGUUCUAAAAUAUUUAGAGGUUCUCAGAGAUAGUGGUCUUGGGGUGGAGACACUUCUCCGAAAAGAGUGCUACAAUUCCAGCCAUGAUGGCCUUUUCUCGUUAAUCUCCUUGUUUUCUCUAUCCUGUAUCCGGUUAGAAAUCAGAGUGAGAUUGAAAUGCUACUAGAAAUUAUUUUGGCCAGAGACACAUGAAUAUUUAAUCCUACCAAAGAAUAACCAAGAAAGGCAUAUAGUCAAGGAAGGUUAGCAGAGGAAAACAGAGUAACACUUGAUUGGUAAAUUUGCUUUUGGCCCCUAAUCCCAAUAUAGACAACUCACAUGAAGUUGUCUAUAAAGAGGAGGCCUAUUCCCACCCAACUUCACCAUCCAAAGAUCCCAAACCAUAGUACUGGUGUACCAUGAAAUGGCCAUGAAGAAAUAAGACGGAAGAGAAGGAUAUGACUACAACUUACUUCCUGUGAGCAUGGACCCAGGACCUUAUCACUUUAGCAGCUUGGAAAGAAGACAAAAUAGGGCUUCCCUGAUGGCGCAGUGGUUGAGAGUCCGCCUGCCGAUGCAGGGGACACGGGUUCGUGCCCCGGUCCGGGAAGAUCCCACAUGCCGUGGAGUGGCUGGGCCCGUGAGCCAUGGCCGCUGAGCCUGCGCAUCCGGAGCUUGUGCUCCGCAACGGGAGAGGCCACAACAGUGAGAGGCCCGCGUACCACAAAAAAAAAAAAAAAAAAAAAAAAAGACAAAAUAGCCACACUUCUAUGGAUGCACUAUUGGGAAAAAGCAUGUCCUAAGCAGGGAGAAGGUAAGGGCACCGAGGCACAAACAUACUUGCUAUGCCCAAGGGACAGCUUCUAAUCCAUGGAUUUUAUUAUUUAAUCCAUGAUUCUAGCAGGUGUUUUGGAUUGCAGUUGAUAGCUGUGGACUUAAUAAUUUUAAACGUAGCAGCCUUCAUUUCUUGGUUGCACCAGGACUGUUAAGCACUUUGUUUUGUUUUGCUGACAUACACUUAUUCCUCUUGGCAUAUAAAAUUCUGAACAUCAGUGAUAUCAUUCUUUUCCUAAUCACCAACUGUGAUGGUGGUAUGGUCGGGGGGGACCUUGUAAAGUUACAUAACAAAGCAAGAAAAUCAAAUUAAUACUGGCAAUAAAUUAAAUACUUUGUUGGAAGUCUCUCGGGUUCAUAAUUUGUGUAAAUGAUUUAUAAUUUAAUUGAUCAUCUGCUUUCCUGAUUAUUACAUGAACCACAAGGAAUACUUAAAACUACCCCACUCUGUUAUGGAGAAAAAAAUAACCCAUAUCAAGAGGUCUGAGUCAAUAAUAUCUUGGCAAAACUUGAUCUGAAUGUCAAUUGGCCGCAUCAUUUGGAAGCAGUUUUGGUGUCCAGUUCAGUGGAUUUUUUCCAGUUUCCAUGAAAUACAGAUAUCCAUAGCUCUUCAUCCUGGAAAACUGCAGCUAGAUGUGUUCUGUUUCAGCGUUUCUCAAAAGUAGUUUAUUCCACAAACAUUAGAGGGCAGCAUUUGAUAGGGAUUUCAAAAAGGCCGAAAAUUCUCCACAUCAAACCCGCCUGAAUGCUCCAUUGGGCUAGGCUUUUCUUUCUUCUUUUCUGGUUCCACUUUGAUUUCAAGCCAGGAAAUGCCUUUCCCUGUGGCUUUCACUGCCCACUGUCCUCUUCUUCCUCAAGGGACACAGCGAGCUGGCUGGGGUUCAUAGUGGAUUAGUGCUCAGCAUCUCUUUUCCCUCCUUUUAGGAUGGGGCCAAAGGAAUGCCAAAACUCUAUCUCCCAAUUCCCUUAUAGUUAAGAUUCCAGAUGUGAUUUAAGUUUGUCCAGUCAGAUGCGCUUUUGGGAUGUUUGAAAGAUGGAUAUGUACCUGGAGGGGCACUGUUGCUGCUUCUGUUUCCUGCAGGCAAGCCUGGUGCGGAGGGGUUGGGCUUUCUGGAGUAGCAUGACCAUGUCCAGUCACUAGCUUCAUGGGGGUCAUGGCAAGGGGUCUGAACAUGCAGUUUUUGCUGAUGCCAGUGUAGCAGUGUGACUUUGAAAGCAACAGCAGCAGCGGUGGGGCAUUGUGAUUCCGAUUGCUUUAGGCUGUGAGUUUCUGUAGCUAAGAGUUCCAGGGCAGUUUCUGAUCGUAUCUUCUUGAUUUUACCUGGUUCCUUGGCAGACACUUCUGUUGUCUGGGAGCCAUUUCUGGAGGCCUUGCCUCAAAUUUGCUUCUCCAGAUCUUCCAGAUUUUUCCUUUCUUUUUCUUUCAUUCAUUUAUUUAUUUAAUAGCUGUAUACAUGUAGUAGUUUCAGAAUUGUUUAUGUACACUUGUCUUUAGACUUGCAGUUUCUACUCAUUCCCCAAGUUACUUAGGUCAGUUCUCUUUACCCCCAUACUCUUCCAUGAGAUUUAUCAUAGUUUAUUUAUUUAUUUAAAAUUGAAGUAUAGUUGGUUUACAAUGUUGUGUUAGUUUCUAGUGUACAGCAAAGUGAUUCAGUUUUAUAUAUAUAUAUAUACACACACACACACACACAUACACAUAUGCAUAUAUAUGUGUAUGUAUAUAUAUUCUUUUUCAGAUUCUUUUCUUUUUUAAAAAUAAAUUUAUUUAUUUUAUUUAUUAUUUUUGGCUGUGUUGGGUCUUCGUUGCUGCACGCGGGCUUUCUGUAGUUGCAGCGAGCGGGGGCUACUCUUUGUUAGAGUGUGCGGGCUUCUCAUUGCAGUGGCUUCUCUUGUUGUGGAGCACGGGCUCUAGGUGCCUGGGCUUCAGUAGAUGUGGCUUGCGGGCUUCAGUCGUUGUGGCUCACGGGCUUAGUUGCUCCAUGGCAUGUGGGGUCUUCCCGGACCAGGGCUCGAACCUGUGUCCCCUGCAUUGGCAGGCGGAUUCUUAACCACUGUGCCACCAGGGAAGCCCCCAGAUUCUUUUCCAUUAUAGGUUAUUGAAUAUAGAUCCCUGUGCUAUACAGUAGGUCCUUGUUGUUUAUCGGUUUUAUAUAUAGUAGUGUGUGUCUGUUAAUCCCAGACUCCUAAUUUAUUCUUCCCCCCUGCUUCCCCUUUGGUAACCAUAAGUUUGUUUUUGCUGUCUGUGAGUCUAUUUCUGUUAAAUAAGUUCAUUUAUAUCAUUUUUUUAGAUUCCACAUAUAAAUGAUGUCAUAUGGUAUUUGUCUUUCUCUGUCUGACUUACUUCACUUAGUAUGAUAAUCUCUAGGUCUAUCCAUGUUGCUGCAAAUGGCAUUAUUUCGUUUUUUUUAUGGCUGAGUAAUAUUCUAUUGUGUAUAUAUAGCACAUCUUCUUUAUUCAUUCAUCUGUCGAUGGACGUUUAGGUUGCUUCCAUGUCUUGGCUAUUGUAAAUAAUGCUGCUAUGAACAUUGGGGUGCAUGUAUCUUUUCAAAUUAGAGUUUUUAAGUGUUUUAUACUCACCCAAUUCUCUGCAUUUCUUAAAUGCCUUCCUGCUUAAAAUAGCUAAACUGGUUUCUGUUUUUCUCAAAGUGACCCAUGAAUGAUACAUUGGCUGAAGGUAAGCAAAAGCUACAGCCCAAGAAUAACACUGUCAUCCAUAUCUCUAUGAUCUUUGUAGCCUUCAGGUGAACUGAUGAAAAACCACCAUGAAAUCUCAGGAGUAAUGAGUUACUUCUUCCUGUGUUCCUUGCCCCACUUCUAAAGUACAUAAUUAUAUCCCACCACUGCUACUAUUAUAAUGGAUGUGAGGUGGUAAUCUCUUGGACUGCAUGUUGGCAAUCAAGCUCACAGCCAUAAUUCAUUCAAAAAUCGUUUACCAAGCAGAUGACAGUGAGCCAGUCUAGAAAGGCUUGUUAGGAACUAACCACACUAACAUUAGUGUAGUGUGGCUUCCCAGGUCCCACAGACCCACUGGCUGAUGCAUUCUGAUAUCACUGGCUUAAGGAAUCUACAGAUCUGAGGAUGCCUGCCAAGUUCCUCAACUAUUCUGCAUACUUUCCUUGUGAAUGAGGCACAGCUGGGAUGGGUUCCCUGACAUUAUCCACACACUAGUAUGAGAAAUAUCUAAGCCCUUUCGACCUCAUAGGAUUGGCUGUAAACAAGACACAUUCUACUUAUUUAUGCUUUUCAACAACUGCUCUUCCAGUCCAAGGGCACUUUACAUGAAUAUGCAGUAUACCAGCCACUCUUAGAAUGACAUUGUUACUCCAGAUGGUGUAUCAUAUACAGAGUCUCUGGUAAGUGGAUUCUUUACUGAUAAAUGUCCAGAUUUUCACAUAAGAUACUUGAUAAGAUUUCAAACUGAACCUACAGUGUACAAAAUUAACCUCAGAGUUUGAUUUUCAGGGAGUCACAAACUGAAAUUCCUCAAUUUUCUAUGACCAGUAUGCUACGAGAAUCCCUAACUUUUGUAGCUGCAGGGUUGAGAUUGCUAUAAGAAUGAGAAAAGGAAUCAGAGAUUUUCAAGUACUCAAUCUCUCUUAAAAACCCACCAUUGAAAUUUCACUGCAUAAUGAAGCCCUCUACCUUCUUUGUCCAUAGAAACUGUUUUUUGCCAUCCUGAGAGCUCCCUUCCAGGAGGAAGCUGAUACUCCCCCCUCACAUCUGCUGUCAGCAGGCCAGGCACUAGGACCAGGUCCCAUUUUUCCCUGGGGUCAUAUGCAAAACCAGACAUUUCAAAAGGAAGUUUAUGUUUUGAAAACAUUGCAAGAAUUGCUUAAUUUUUAUCAACCAAAAAAAAUAAAAAGCAAACUUUUUACAAAUUGAUGUUGAGCCUAUUUGGCUCAGAAGCACGGCUGAUACUUUCAGAUGGGGUUAAAUUUGUUUCCAGGGGUGACAAUUCCCUGGUCUUUACCCUACAACUUGCUCCCUGGAACCAAUUUUCGUAUCUGUUAGGAUUCUUCAGUUGUAACAACAUAAAUCAACUCUGGAUAACUGGAUUGUUGUAGUGGUUAAUAGCUUAGGCUUUCCUAAGGUACAAAUUCUGACUCUCUAACUUACUAAUUGUCACUGGACAAUCAAACUAAUCUCCAUUUGCUCUCUGCAAAAGGGAAUAAUAAAAAUACUACAUACUUCAUAAGGCCUUGUGAAGAACAAGUGGGAAAUUACAUUUGAAGUUUUGGUACAUGGUAACAAUUGGGUAGAUUUUAAUUAUAAUUUUAUUUCUAGCUGGCCUUUCAUUUCUUGAAAGAAUCAUAAUGAUCAUUAAAUAAAUCCCUGCUGCCUCUCACCCUGGAGUCCACCACGCAGAGUUGUUGAUGUAAUAAAUAAGUUGUUUCCGAAUGAGCACUUGUACUUUGCAGUGUCAGCCCUCGUGGCGUUAAAUUUGGAGCUUAUGCUUGAAAUCGUUUGUGUUAGUCCUAGAGUGAGCAGACCUUGACACAAAGUUGGGAAUGCAAGAGGUUUAUUGGGAGGUAAUAAAAGAAGUGGGAUCACCUUCAGACUGUGAUGUAAACUCUGGUGGCAGCGAAGGGAGAGGAGGAGGAAGCAGGAUUGGGGAAGGAGAGCCUCAGACUGUGAUGCAGAGAUGACAGAACUUCAGCCAACCCAAUGCGGAGCUCUAGAGCAUAGAUUGCUCUUAGAGGAAUAUGCAGAAAUGGCCAGGCCCUGAUGUCCUUGCUGUGCUGUCAUUGGCUGGGGGAUGCCUUGGAAGAGAAUGGUUUCAGCCGGGAAGUUAAUGGCAGAUCCCAAAAGCAUGCACAGCUGAGGCUGCCAGCAAGUUCUUCCUUGAAGGGAGUUCUGAGUGGUCAGCCUCUAUGGCUGUCGUGGUCCACCCCUUGUGCUGCAUGGCAGCAGCUUCUCUAGGGUUUCAAUGAGCCUCUCUUCCUAAUGGCGAAGUUAUGGGUUCCAGCUGGUAUUCACUGUUCCCCUCCGGUGUCCAUUCUAAAUUCCUCUCUCCCUCAUCUACCCCCUCUCUGUCCUUAGUGGCUUAUCGAUUGGUUUGACACCCAUGUGCUAAUUCUAAGGACUCUGAACCCCUAGGAACCAUACUCUUCGUCUUCUCAGAUCAGGAUGGCUGCGCUUGUCCAUUUACAGUUACGAUUGGACAAGGGAAUAACCAGAAGUACCCCAGUGGGUCACCUGAGUUCCACACAUAUUCCUGCCUGUCCCAGUUGUGUCACAGCAGCCCUGCCUCCUAUGGAUCGAGCUCAGUAACUCCUGUUAAGGCAGUAACUCCUGUUCUUGCCUGCUGGUCCUAAAUAUAAAGAGACCAAAGUUCCCAGAUGGCAGCCGUGUCUUACAGAUUAAUGGAAAACUUGCUAUGUCCCUUUGCAAGGGUAUGUCCCCUUUUGGAAUCAGGACCUGUAAUCCCGCAGAGCCCAGAGCUGUUUGGACAGAAAGCACAAAGUCCCCUGAUGGGUCAUUGCAAAUGAUGUUAAGUGGGGCCACUCCUGCUUGGUUCCUGGAUCCAUGAAUUCUUCCUGUUGGGGACGUGGAAUCAAUAGGUCUCUGAUUCAGUGUGUGCACUGCAUCCUGGAGGAUGGUACCCCAUCCUUGCAGAGUAUUACCUAGGAGUUAGUACUUCUGUAGGUCAUUUCAUUAUUCUAACAGGUUGGCAGCUUCUGGAUGGAGCAAUAUAUGAUAUGACCAUUGGAGCUCAUGGUCUUGGCCCCUCCCAUCCCUCCUUCUUUUCCCUACCUGAUUGGAUGCUAUACUGUGUAGGGCUUUAAGACUGUGGAUCAGGUGCUCCCUAGCCAUGCCCUCCAAAUCUGUUCUAGGUAAGUCAUAUAAGUGACAAUAACACAAUAUUUGUUCUUCUGUAUCUGGCUUAUUUCACUUAGUAUAAUGUCUUCAAUGUUCAUCCAUGUUGUAGCAUGUGUGAGAAGAUGACUUUUUAAAAAGCUUUUUUUUUUAAAAAGCUUUUAAUUGAAGUAUGACAUACAAAGAGAAAAGUGAGUAACUCCUCCCAAGUUGAACACAUCAGGGUAAGCAGCACCUAGAUAAGAAACCUAGUAACUGGCACCACAGAAGACCCCCCAUGCUCCCUUCCAGUCCUAACCCCAGUGAUAAGCUCUAUCCUAACUUCUAAGAAUACAGAUUAAUUUCACCUAGUAUUUAACUUUAUAUAAAUGAAACCAUGCAAUAUUUAUUCUUUUUCUGUCUGCUUUCUUUUGCUCAGUAUUAUGUUUGUGGCAUUCAUCCAUAUUGUUGUGUAUAGUUAUAGUUUUUUUAUUCUUGUUGCAAUAUAUGAAUAUUCUCAUUGCUAUGUGUGAAGAGUCUCAUUCUGUUGUAUGAAUAUACCACAAUUUAUUUAUCCUUUAUACUGUCGAUGGUACUUAGGUAGUUUCUGUUUUUAGCUCUUAUAAAUGGUGCUGCUAUGAACAUUCUUGAACAUGUCUUUUGGUGAACCCAUGAGUAGAUUUAUAUUAUUUAUAUGCAUAUGUAAUAUAUGUUGAAUAUAUUGUAUAUAAUGUGAAUAUGUAAUAUGAACCUAUAUACAGGUUUCCCCUGUUAUCUGAAAGCAGAGCAUUCUUAUGAAACCUUUUGUAAGCCAAAAUGGCGAAGUGAAGAAACAAUUACCUAAGGACACAUCUUGCUAAUGGAUGCACAGGAUAAAUGGAACUAAAGCACAGAUGCUCACAGACACAGUUCAAAGCUAUGGCCGCUUGAUGCUGAGAUGCUGAGUGUAGCUCCCAGGGAAGGAGCUUGGCGGGGCCACUCUCAUUACUCAGACUCAGGGCGACAGGAGAUGAUGACUGAUGACUCAGCCUCCGUGGCUCCACUUCCCAGAGCUCCACUCACCACAUCAGUAAGCCUGGCACUGAGGGGGAGACAGAAUCACAACACGUGUUGCUGUCCAUUCUCGCAGAGAUGUCAAGAGCCAAGGCCCGAGAAGAGGAGAGAACUGGGGCAUAAAGGAAAGAAGAAAGGGAUAAAUGGCCCAUUUAAACAUGGGGCCCCAUGUGGUCCAGUCUGUAUGACAUGUCACAUUCAACUAAACACAGAUUUGACAACUGAGACAAAUCAGAAGUAUCUGGACUUUCCUGGUGGUGCAGUGGUUAAGAAUCUGCCUGCCGGUGCAGGGUUCGAGCCCUGGUCUGGGAAGCUCCCCUAUGCCACGGAGCAACUAAGCCUGCGGGCCACAACUACUGAGCCUGCGCUCUAGAGCCCGGAGGCCACAACUAUUGAGCCCGCGCACCAAGAGCCUGUGCUCUGCAGCAAGAGAAGCCACCGCAAUGAGAAGCCCGUGCACCACAACAAAGAGUAGCCUCCACUCGCUGCAACUAGAGAAAGCCCGCGCGCAGCAAAGAAGACCCAACACAGCCAAAAAUAAAGGAAAAAAACCAUAUAAGUAUAUGAUUUGAUAAGAUAAAAGCAUGACAAAAAGUUAGACUAGAAAAAAUACUAAAUACAUACUCAAUAUAUACUCAACAUUCCUAAGAGAUUGUCAGAUAAGAGUUUUUAUAGUGUGACAGAACAAAAAAAUACUUCCUCAAUGACUAGUAUAUUUAGAAAAUUUCCGUGUCAUUUGUACUUGUCUAGAAAGAGCUAUUUCAAAAGCAUCUAGCUGUCUUGAGAUUAAACUUGUCUGCCCUUGGAGAAAGAAGCAAUUGCCUGUUCACUCAUUCAUUAACUCAAAAUAUAUUUAAAUAGAAUUCACCACGUACCAAGCACAGUAUUAGGUACUAGGAGUAGGACAGAGAAUAACAUGGGGGACUUCCCUGGUGGCGUAGUGGUUAAGAAUCUGCCUGCUAAUGCAGGGGACACGGGUUCGAGCCCUGGUCCGGGAAGAUCCUACAUGCCAUGGAGCAACUAAGCCCGCGGGCCACAACUACUGAGCCUGUGCUCUAGAGCCCGCCUGCCACAACUACUGAAGCCCAUGUGCCUAGAGCCUGUGCUUAGCAACAAAGAGAAGCCACUGCAAUGAGAAGCCCGCGCACCGCAACGAAGAGUAGCCCCCACUCGCUGCAACUAGAGAGAAAGCCCGCGAGCAGCAACGAAGAGCAAUGCAUCCAAAAAUAAAUAAAUAAAUAAAUUUAUAUACAUAAAAAAAGACUAACAUGGUCCUUACCCUCAGGUAGCUUACAAUGUAAUAGGGAAAACAGACAUUGAGUAGGUUAUUACUCAUUCAGACAUUGAAUGUGUGCAUUGAGAGUUAUGAUGGAGAAGUACAUGGUGCUAUUGAAGCUAGUCAGUCAGGGAAAGCUUUAGGAAGAAUAUGAUUUUAAAUAAAAGAGGACAGAGUUGCCUUCCUUUCUUUGGCAUAUUAAACCAUAUGAAUAUCUGUUGAGCGAUCCAGGUGCUACUGCUGCCACCUCUGGGCAUGUCUUUCUCCUUUGCCUGAAAAGAAUACGUUAACCUCAGAUUAAGCAAAGAGCUCAUAAAAUGCCUGAUGGCACACCGACCAAUCAAAACAUACCAAGCAUUCUUCUCCAGAGGAUUGGGAAAGAGAUUCAUUUUGAAAUAAUUAUCUGGCAAUAGGUUCAACCUGAAAAAAAUAAACAUGAAGCCAUAAUUAUUUUUCAACAGAACUAGAGACAUUCAUCCUAGUUUUUGAAACUGUAUAUCUAUUUCAGAGCACUGGAAGCUCAAUACUAUGUUUUAUGUUCUAAGGGUAAAAACAUGAUGUCUGUUUUAUUUCACAACAUGAAUUGAAAGCAUUUGUGGGACACGAUGUUGUUUUGGUUCAAUAGAUUGUUCAAGGUUCCUUAGGAGUUUUAUCCAGUAACUGCUUUCAGCUUUAAGAUAUUAAUGUUUCCUUUUGGUUUUCAAAUCCAAAGACUGUGUAAGCAGAUUUUUCUGUUUUUGAUGCCUUAGUCUACUGCUAGGGUGGUUUAAGGUCAUCAAUCACAUAACUGAGAGCAAUAAAGGACUCUGGCUAAGAGUUUUUACACAAAUAAAACUUGCAUUGGUUUGAGUAGGGAUGGAGAUUAUUCAAGGAUUGCGGGAAUAGCUUGGAGUCAAACCUCAAAAAUGUCCCAGGUUUGCAGCUCAUGCGCUGGUUGGGAAGGCUGCCCCUCACGUUAAUUCAGGUAGGAUGCUGGCCAGGCUCAAGCUAGGAAAAUGAGAGGACCUGAUGGGAACAAUAAAGGGAUUGAUACCCUUGGGCUAUUCAGCAAGUCUUGGGAAUCUUUCUGCCAAGAAAACCUGCUCUCUCUCCUUUCUUUCUCUGGGGAUCCAAGUCCAGGGUUUGUGUUUAGGAACACAAUGAACUAAGUCAAGUUUGUCAUAGACUGUUUUCUCUCAGGACCCUUUUCCCCUUCCCGGAUCUGUUAUUUUUAUCUUCCCGUGCUCAGAAUUUUCCUACUGCCCUAUAGAGGCCCAGAGUUCACCACUGUGGAGCCCUCUUUGGUCUGCCCUACUUGGCCCAAUAUUGCUACCUGUUUUGGUAUUUUCCCCCCAAUUUUACACUUCCCCACUAUUUCAGUUUCCUAUUGUUGCAAACAAGUUCCUACAAACUUAGGGCUUAAAACUACACAAAUUUAUUAUUUUACACUUCUGGAGGUCAGAAGUCUGAAAUGGUCUCAUUGUGUUAAAAUCAAAGUCAGCAGGGCUGUGUUGCUUUCUGGAGACUCUAGGGGAGAAUCCAUUAUCUUGUCUUUGCUAGUUUCUAUAAGCGUCCUUUCAUCUUCAAAGCCAGUAAUGGCUGGUUGACUCUUUCUCGCAUCAUAUAUCUCUAACUUUGCUUUUGUCAUCACAUUCUAUUCUGACUCUUAACUCUCCUAGUAUUUCCCUUUCCAAUAAUAACACUCUUCCAUACCAUUGGAGGUAACCAUUGAAGUAACUUUUAUGGGUUCAUUACCUUUUCAUUUUAGUUUUGCCACCCAGUUACAUAUACCUAAACAAUAUAUUUUUAUCUUUGAACUUUAUAUAAGUGAAAUCACACACUACCUAUUUUAUUGUGGUUGACUUUCUCCACUUAAAUUUUUUUUUGAAAUAAACUCAAAUUUAUAGAAAAGUUGAAAAUAUGGGUCAAAACUUUUUUUUCCCUGCACUAUUUGAGAUAGAUUGCUAACAUAAUGCCCCAUCAUUUUAGAAUUUUUUAGUUCUUUUAUAAACAAGAACAUUCUGCUGCACAACCUCAAUGCAAUCAUCAAAAGCAGGCAAUUAGUCUUGGUGCAGUAACAUCUACUCCUUAGAUUCCAUUCAAGUUUUGUAAAUUGUCCUAAUAAAGUCAUAUAUAGCUAAUAGACCCCAUUCAGAACCACAUGUUGCAUUUAUUUGUCCUGUACCUUUAGUCUCCUGCAAUCCAAAAUAGUUCCUCAAAUUUUCCUUGACUUUCAGGACCGUGACACUUUUACAGAUUAUAGGUCAGUUAUUUUGUGGAAUGUCCCUUAAUUGGAGCUUAUCUGAUGUUUCCUCUUGACCAGAUUUAAUUUAUGCAUCUUGGCAGAAAAACUAUAGAAGUGAUAUUAUGUUCUUUGCAUUCUACCAGGUGGCACAUAAUUUCAAUUUGUUCCAUAUUGAUGUUGUCCAUUUUGGUCAUUUGAUUAAGCUAAGUCUGCUAGGCUUCUCAGCAGUAGAUUUACUCUUUUCCCCUUUAUAAUUAAUAGAUAUUUUAUGGGAAGAUUUUUUAUGAUAUUGAAGUACCUCAUUUAAAUAUACCACAAAACUUUCAGCUUAUUCAUUUUAAAAUGUAUAUUAAAUUUGGGUCAUGGUUUCCAAUUUUACUCAAUGGGUAAUAAUGCUUUAAUAUAUUAUUUAUUGUGAUACUCAAAUCAUCCCAGACGGGGUCCCUUCAAGAUAGUUCUUUGCCCCUUUGACAUAUCACCAUCAUUCUUUGAGAAAUUUCUCAUUUUCUGGCACAAGAAGAAAGAAUGUUCCAGGAUUGUCUUCUACUUUCCCUGCCUCUACCCUGGAACCAGCUAUACCUCUGAGAAAUUUAACUCCAAGAUUCCAUUUAAUGGAUAUUUAGAGAACAAGAUCCGGGCACUAUGUGUGCUCACUGCUACUGAGGGUACUGCUGCUCCCAUGCCCUUUUAGUGGACAUAGCUCGAGAGUAUAUGUAUGUGUAUACAUACAUUUAUAUGUAUAUAUGCAUAUAUACCUCAUAUGUAUAUAUAUAAUAUUCAUACAUAACAAUAUUCAUUUAUAUCUGUAUUUAUUUCUCUAUCAAUCUAUGUGUUAAAAACUAUGAGUCCACAAUGAUAACUCUAAUUUUAAUUGAAUACCACAGGGUUUAUUCUAGUUUUCCCUUUCCACAUUUUUACUCCCUUUCUCUGAACAAUUAGAAAGCUGCUUCCCAUUAUUCUUAACAAAUUUACUUAAUCGAUGAAUCCUUUGUGUACAACCAAUCUCUCAUCACAGCUGCUGGUCCCUCCCCUACUUUUCUGCUCUCAUCAUUUUACUGGUGCUCUGACACCAUGCAAUGGGCCUGUGACCACCCUUAUGACCCUUUGUAAUCCCUCCAACUUGCUCUUUCCUAAGCAACCACUUAUUUCUAUCUCAGUAGAUUAGUUCAAAUUUCCCACUGUAAGUGGAAUCAUACAGUGUGUACUCUUUCAUUCAGCCUAAUUAAUUUAAGAUUUAUCCAUGUUGUUGUGUUACUAGUUCAUUCCUUGUUAUUGCUGAGCUGUAUACCAUUGUAUGGAUAUAUAAAAAAUUUAUCUGUUCACCUGUUGAUGGACAUUUGUGUUGUUUCCACUUUUUGGCUAAUAAAAAUAAAGCUGCCAUAAACAUUCAUGUGCAAGUCUUUGUAUGGAUAUAUAUCUCCUUUUCUCUUGGGUAUAUACCUAUGAAUCAGAUGACUGGAUAAUAUUAUAGGUAUAUGUUUAACUUCUAAAGAAACUGCCAAAAUAUUUUCCAAAGUGGUGUACCAUUUACAUUUCUACCAGCAGUGUGUGAAAGUUUCAGGUUUUCUACAUCCUUGUCCAAACUCAAUAAGGUCAGUCUUUUUUUUUUUUUAAAUAAAUUUAUGUAUUUAUUUAUUUUUGGCUGCAUUGGGUCUUUGUUGCUGCACGCGGGCUUUCUCUAGUUGCAGUGAGUGGGGGCUACUCUUCGUUGCGGUGCGCGGGCUUCUCAUUGCGGUGGCUUCUCGUUGUGGAGCACGGACUCUAGGCACGCAGGCUUCAAUAGUUGUGGCUUGUGGGCUGUAGAGCGCAGGCUCAGUAGUUGUGGCGCACAUCCUUAGUUGCUCCGCAGCAUGUGAGAUCUUCCCUGACCAGCGAUCAAACCUGUGUCCCCUGUAUUGGCAGGAGGAUUCUUUUUUUUUUUUUUCAUCUUUAUUGGAGUAUAAUUGCUUUACAAUGUCAUGUUAGUUUCUGCUUUAUAACAAAGUGAAUCAGUUAUACAUAUACAUAUGUUCCCAUAGCUCUUCCCUCUUGCGUCUCCCUCCCUCCCACCCUCCCUAUCCCACCCCUCUAGGUGGUCACAAACCACCUAGCUGAUCUCCUUGUGCUAAGCAGCUACUUCCCACUAGCUAUCUAUUUUACAUUUGGCAGUAUAUAUAUGUCCAUGCCACUCUCUGGCAGGAGGAUUCUUAACCACUGCACCACCAGGGAAGUCCCAAGGUCAGUCGUUUUUAAUUUUAGCCAUUGUAAUAGGUAUGUAGUACCUCAUUGUGCUUUUAAUUUGCAUUUCCCUGAUGACUAAUGAUGUUGAACUUACUUUCAUAUGCCCUCUGUAUAUCUUCUUCUUUUUUUAAAAAAAUAUUGAUUUAUUUAUUUGGCUGUGCUGGGGCUUAGUUGCAGCACGUGAGAUCUUUGUUGAGGCAUGUGGGAUCUUUAUUUUUUUUUUUAGUUGUGGCAUGUGGGAUCUAGUUCCCUGACCAGGAAUGGAACCCAGGCCCCCUGCAUUGGGAGUGCGGGGGUCUUAUCCACUGGACCACCAGGGAAGUCCCUGUAUAUCUUCUUUGGUGAAGUAUUUGAUUAAAUCUUUUGCCUAAUUUUUAGUUUUGUUGUUUGUUCUCUUAUAGUUGAGUUUUGAGAGUUCUUUGUAUAUUCUGGUUACAAGUGUUUUAUCAGGUAUAUACUUUGCAAAGAUUUUUUCCCAGUAUGUGGCUUGCUUUUUCAUUCACAUUUGUUAAUUUCAUUUCAUUUUCAUUCUUUCAUUUAAGAAUGUUUCUUAAAGAGCAAAAAUUUUUAAACUUUGAUGAAGUCCAGUUUAUGAAUUUCCUUGUUAUGAAUUAUCUUUUUGGCAUCAUAUCUAAGAAAUCUUUACUUAACCCAAGUUUACCGUAAGUAUUUAAUAUUUUUGCUGCUGUUAUAAAUGGUAAGCCUUUUCAAUUUAAAUAUCCAGAUCUUUGUUGCUAGUAUAUAGAUGUAAUGCUAUUUAGUUCCUCUCCAUCAUGUUUGGAGGCACAUAAUGACUGGUUUCCCACUCUUAGUCAUGCUAAGAUUUUUUAAAAAAUAAAUUUACAUUUAUUUAUUUAUUUGUUUUUAUUUUUGGCUGUGUUGGGUCUUUGUUGCCGCGUGCGGGCUUUCUCUAGUUGUGGCGAGCGGAGGCUACUCUUUGUUGCAGUGCACGGACUUCUCAUUGCGGUGGCUUCUCUUGUUGUGGAGCAUGGGCUCUAGGCACGCAGGCUUCAGUAGUUUUGGAACGCUGGCUCGGUAGUUGUGGCUCACGGGCUUAGUUGCUCCGCAACAUGUGGGAUCUUCCUGGACCAGGGCUCAAACCUGUGUCCCCUGCAUUUGCAGGCGGAUUCUUAACCACUGUGCCACCAGGGAAGUCCCAGUCAUGCUAAGAUUUGAAUUGAGAUAGUGUAAUCAAUAUGAUCUACAGUAUCCAUGAAAAUGUUACCCAUCAACCUUUCACCUAAUAUUUCUGGACCAAAAAACAUUGCCUAAAUGAUCUAUUUUCAUUAGGGGUUGCAAACUGAUGAUAUUCUAAUGCUAUUGUUUUUCUUGCAUUUAUUAGCUGUGAUUCAUUUAUAAAGAAGAAAUUUCCUUGGUCAUUUAUUUUGUUAGCCUGAAGUAGUGUAUCAGGAAACAAUAUAAAAACUUGAUUCUUUCUUUCUUUUUUUUUUUUUUGCGGUACACGGGCCUCUCACUGUUGUGGCCUCUCCCGUUGCGGAGCACAGGCUCCAGACAUGCAGGCUCAGCGGCCAUGGCUCAUGCGCCCAGCCGCUCCGUGGCAUGUGGGAUCUUCCCGGACCAGGACACGAACCUGUGUCCCCUGCAUCGGCAGGUGGACUCUCAACCAUUGUGCCACCAGGGAAGCCCUGAUUCUUUCUUUUUAUUGAUCAUUUUUAGAAUAAAGAUUUCAUGCUCUAGCAACUUCUAAAAGUGAUGAAUGGGGACUUCCCUAGUGGUCCAGUGGUUCAGAAUCUGCCUUCCAAUGCAGGGGAUGUGGGUUUGAUCCUUGGUCAGGGAACUAAGAUCCCACGCGCUACAACUAGUGAGCCUGUGUGCUGCAACUACAGAGCCCAUGUGCUCUGGAGCCCACAUGCCACAACUAGAGAGAAGCCCACAUGCCGCAACAAAAGAUCCUGUGUUCCGCAAAUAAACCUGUCGCAGCCAAAAAUAAAUAAGUAUUAAAAAAUAAAAAUAAAAAUAAAGUGAUGAAUGAGUAUUUAUUUUUGGAUUGUCAUUAUGAACACAUGUUUUUGUAUAUAUUUCACAUACUUCAGCUUAUCAAGGCUAUUAUAUUUUAGAUGCUGGAAUUGUCCCAUCUUGGCCAGUAUGAGACCCCUUCUAAUUGGCUCCUGUGUUCUUUCAGUAUGACUCUAGUAGUAACUGAUAACUUUCUUGC